rnacentral:rRNA from 1 species
AACGAACGCUGGCGGCAGGCCUAACACAUGCAAGUCGAGCGAGGACUUCGGUUCUAGCGGCGGACGGGUGAGUAACGCGUGGGAAUGUGCCCUUCUCUACGGAAUAGCCCUGGGAAACUGGGAGUAAUACCGUAUACGCCCUAUUGGGGAAAGAUUUAUCGGAGAAGGAUCAGCCCGCGUUGGAUUAGGUAGUUGGUGGGGUAAUGGCCUACCAAGCCGACGAUCCAUAGCUGGUUUGAGAGGAUGAUCAGCCACACUGGGACUGAGACACGGCCCAGACUCCUACGGGAAGCAGGAGUGGGGAAUCUUAGACAAUGGGGGCAACCCUGAUCUAGCCAUGCCGCGUGAGUGAUGAAGGCCUUAGGGUUGUAAAGCUCUUUCAGCUGGGAAGAUAAUGACGGUACCAGCAGAAGAAGCCCCGGCUAACUCCGUG